GUUGACAGCACGCGCCCACGCCUUAUCAACAAAGUUCUUCUGACUCUCUAAAUUUCUCCAAGAGAACAAUCAUAUUUAAACAUCAUCUUAUAGCUCAAUUUUAUCACGAAUCAAUAGAAUUGCACCUACAAAAGUAAAACACAAGUAAAUCAUUAUUAUUAAGUACAAAAUAUCGAUAUUAAGAGAAGUAAACAAUGCAAAACUAGUGCAUAAAUUACACUCUAACAAGGGUACCUUCUGGAGGGCAUAACUUGGGCUAUAGUUGGCCGUCCAUUUCAAAGCUUACAAUGAGGUCAAUCUAAUUAAGAACCCCUUGCACUAUUCUGCCCUAUGGUUUAGCAAAAAAUUCCGCUUCAUUACUGGUCAUUUUUUAAUUUUAAAAUUUUCCCUAUUUUUCCUUUUUCUUUAAUGAUUUGUAUCCUUUUUUUAGAUUUUGGAUUUGGGUGCCAUUUGUUUUGCUUUUCCUAUUUAGAUUGGGAGAACGUUAUUAUAAAAUAAUAGUUCAAAUUUGCCUAUUUUGAUAAAUUCACGAUAUUUAGGGUUAUUAUAUAUAAAGGCCCCAAAACCCUAGUUUGAUAAUUUAGACUUAUUCAAUAAAACUUCAUUAUUUAGAAACUUUUGUUUAAUCUAUCUUUCAAUCUUUAACAUUUCUGUUUCAUUAGUUGGUAUCAGAGCAAGUUUGCUUGUCAUAUGGUACGGUCACAUGAACAAAGGAGCAACUAUCUUGAAGACAAUAAUCAAGGGAUGCGGGCACAAACUGUGGAGGCUGUCAGAUAGGUAGCUAGAGAAGCAACCUUGCAAGUGACUAAGAAUGCUUAUAAUUUGAGAUCAGUGGUGAUAGAGUAGGCAAUUGAGAGUUUUAGGCCCUCAUUGAAUGAAAAUAGGGAGAGAGAGUGAGAGAGAGACAAAGAAAGAGUUCAACAACAAGGAGUUAAUCGUGAGGAAGAACUUUAAGUAGUCAAUCAUAGUGAACAACUAGAAAAUUAUAACCACAUGGAGGUAUCUUAGGGGGUCAAUCAUGAAAUAGAACCUCAAGGCAUUAAUUCUGCUUGAUGUAUGCCAGUGGGUAUGGGUGAAGAAUUAGAAAACAAUUUAAAAGAAGAAGAAUCUGUGGAGGAUUAUAACAAGUGUAAAAGGAAUUCAGACUACAAGAUUAAUGUUGAUAUUCCAAAUUUUUAUGGUGGGAUGCAUGUCGAAGAAUUUUUAGACUAGAUAUCAAUUAUGGGUAGUUUUUUUGAGUAUAUGGAGAUUCCUAAAGAUAAACGAGUUUAAGCUUGUGUGUUUAAAUUAAAAGGCGCAACUUUUGCAUGGUAUCAACAUGCGUAGAUUCGAAAAAGAGUUGCGGGAAAACAAUUUAUCAAAUCAUGGUCUAGAGUAUAGAGGAUGAUGUAAGAGUAUUUCCUGCUAGCAAAUUACUGGUAAUAGUUGUAUUUCAAAUAUCAGAACUGCAAGCGUACGAGAAAUAAUUUAGAGAAGCCAGAACUUUGAUUGGUGGAUUGAAGCAAGAGAUACAAGAUGAGGGAGUGGAUACGAUUUGGGACUUAGGUUCUGUUGAUGCGUAUUGGUAUAGGUGUCAAUAUGCAAGUGUACACAAUAAGUAAUAUAAUGAUGAGUAUUCAUAUCAUCUCCAUAAGGAUUAAUGUUAUAGGACUUGCUACAACAAUCUUAACAGUGCAAUCUAAGUCUAAUUAAAAAUAAAAUUAUUGAUGUAAUUAACAACCUAACAAAAUAAAAAAAAUGCAAUAAAUGAAAUCUUAGGUCAAAUACAAAGAUAUAAUCAAUGGGAAAUGAGUAGUAGAGUACUUAAACUCACUUAAUGAUAUUGACUUUUUUUUAAUUAUGGUAUUGUUGCUAUAGCAUCUACUACAGCACUGGGCACAAUCCCUCAAGCAUCCUCAGCUGUCGCAUGUUGGAUAUCUUAUAUUUACAUGCAACCUAAUAGUGACCAGUUGUUAUGCUAACAUUAGACAUUAGAUACAACAUUAUACGUAAUAGAUUCCAAUUGUCCUACAAGGUGAAUCCAUAUGUCUAGUUCUUCACUAAUCUUAGAUCAAACAUGGCCCCAUUCAAAUCAAGAUUAACUCAACUUGGGAAACUUAUUCUAAAACCAUGUAUUGUAUUAAUUUGUUCCACUAAGCCAAACCUUUUGAAACUUCUUCUUAGCUAGUAUCCACUAAAUGAGUGGUCAACUGAAAUAAGGAUUUGCGAUAAGUAAAAUCAAGACAAAAAUGCUACAGUAGAUUCUAAGCAACACAUAUAUAAGUCAAAUAAUCAUUGAGCUUGUUUAACACCCAACUGCAUUAAAGUUUAGUUCAUGAUAUGUGACAAAACAGUAACCAUACUCGUUUAUCAAAUAUAUUCCCACAAAGAGAUGAAAACAAGAAAAUAAAGAUGAAGAAUUGAGUUCCACUAGGUCUUUGCGAUCUCUCCUUCCUUUUCUCUCAAAUCCCUUGCUGGAGCCCUCAACUCUCUUAUAUUCUCUUUUUUAUUUUGUUUUCUCUGUUAUUUUUCUUGACUGAGGGCUCUCUCUUGUUUCUUUCCAUCUAUACUAUUUUUAUAUCUUGGAAUCAAUAGUGAAGAAGAUGAGUUGUUACUGAAAUUUACUUAACAUUUGCCUGGCGAAGCAGUGCAGUUUAUCAUUAGAGUUUGAGAAGUUGAUAAAUUUAGAUACUGAGAAAAAAGUUUGAAUUUCCGUUCGUUUUCAGUCUUGAGCUUUAUACUAAAAACGUUAGGUUUUGACAUUUAAAUAGGAAAAUCAUAGAUAAAUUAAAUGUUAGCCUUAUAAUUUUUUAAAUGCAGUGAGUUGAACUUCUCUACUUUUAUUUUUUUUUUCAAAAAAAUUAAUAAACACCGGCUUUGAGGGGCCGCUUUUUUAAAAAAAAAUUCAGAUCAAGAAAAAUUAUAUUAGAGACGGAUCCAAAUCCAUUAUUAGACUAUAGUAUAAUUGUGCGAACUACGUGGGAUCACUGAAUUCCGUGGCAGACCGGUCAUGAUCAACUAAGGGUCCGUUUGGGGCAGCUGCUCUCCACCCUAUAUUCUAGGGAAUAUUCACCUGGAAUAAAGCAUCCACAGCGCAACUGUCCCAAACGUUCGCUAAAAAUAGUAGAUAAAAAGUAGAUAACAGAGGAAAAAUGUUUUUUGACUCGAUGAAAAGUUUGUCGGCAGUAAUUCAUGAUUAUCAAACUAAUAUGUUCGUGAUGGCAGAUUUUUGAGAAAAUUUUUUUUUAUUUUAUCAAAUAACCUUAUAAUCUUUACAGGGAAUGAGAUCAGAAAAGAAAAAAAAACAGAAAUUACCUUUUUUUUUUCAUUUAUAAAUGGCAAAAGGUGAAAAGAUAUUACAACACUUUGAGAUAUGUCAUUUUUAUACUUGAAGUUUCAAGAAAUUCUAUUUUGCAUAUUGUGCUAAAUCUGUCAUAAAAUUUAUACGAGAAGACGAUUUUUGCCAUUCUAAUUUAAUUUAACAUUAUAAUGCAAUUCAACACUUUGAAAUCUACCAUUUUUAUUCUUGAAGUUUCAAGAAAUUCCAUUUUACACAUUGCCCUUAAAUCUAUUAUUAAAUGUGUAGGAAAAGACAGAUUAUGCUGUUGUAAUUUAAUUUAACACGAUGAUGCAUCACAUUCAAGGCAACCACCAUUUUCCUACGUAGUCCCAUAUAAAUUUUAAAUGCUUCAUUUGGUGUUCGGUGCUUUAUAAUAGAUUAAUGUAAGAUAUACUCAAACUUCACUUUUAUUUAAAUUUUUUUAUUUUUAUAUAAUUAAAUUAAAAUUAUAAAUAAAAAAUAUAUCAGUUAUUUAGAAAAAAAAAAAAAGGACCUUAGAGAACCCUUGUUAUUAUUCGGGAAGGAGAAGAGAAUUCCCUUAAACAAUUCUGAUUGGAAUGAGAAUAUAGACAUAUACAAAAUAGCAGGGAUGGAUACGAGGAGGUGGGUCCCCUCCUCUCCCCAUUGUUAUCCCUGGACAUGUUCUAAUUUUUUAUAUACAGCUGUCGUUCGUGACCGAUGGUAAUUAAGAUUAAAAUAAUUUAUCUUACAUUAGAUACGGAUCAAAUGUAGCCAGAAUGCCAAAAUGAUGAUUAAUUAAUUAACGUUUGAUGACACCAUCCUACAAAUGAUGAUAAAUUAUUAUCUGUUUUAAAGGAAAGUAAUAAUUUUUGUUUGGGGAAACUCUGGGUGGUAAAGGGGGCCAAUAAUUCAGUGACACGAGAUGAAUAAAGUCAGCUAAGUGAAGUCAAUUCGUUUGACCAAAUGACAAUCUCAAAGGUUAGAAGAUAAGCCCCAUCAGGAAAAACAAUAGUUCUAGUAAAUAUAAAUAAAAAAUUUCUUGAGCAAAGCAAUAGGAGGGACCAUGUCGGUUGUUUUUUGCUAUCCUCUACAAAGUAGCAGGAUCAUUGCUCGAGCUUCCUCCACAUGGCAAAAAGUGAGGACCACAAGAGGGAUAAAGGAAUUUGUUGCUCGCCAAGCUUACUUGGUCAAUACCAAGUGAACAAAAGAAAAUGACAAAAAUAGCCCCACUUAAGAAAGGCAGCACCAAUAGAAAAUAUCCAUGUGGCAAAAAUGAUGAAAAUGCGCCUAAGGCACCUGUACUAUAAAUUCAGCUCAAGACACAAGACAAAUGGAUUAUUUCAGAUCUGAUUUCUUGCUUGAAAGACUGCUUUAUCUUCUUCUUCUUUCUCUAUUUUUACACCUCCAUGGAAGAUUUUGGCCAUCUCAUCUCUCAUGGAAGAUUUUUCCUUUUUCUUUUCUUAAAAACUCCCUAAUCUCCAUAAAAUAUACAUCAUCUUCAUCUUAUUACUCAAUAUAAACAACAUUUAAUAAGGUUUUGUUGAUAUUGCAAAGUAAAUCAUGUAAUACUUCAUAUACAUAGUGGAUUGGAGAUGAUUACUCCUGCAAAUGUAGGACAAAGGGUCGAACCAAAUAAAAGCUUGUAUGUUCUUUAUUAUUUAUACUUAUUUUUUGCUUAUUAUGUCCAUAGAUAAGCUUUCUAGAUCUAUCCUAGAAUUCACCAAAGUCAUCCCCUGAGCUCUUUUAAGGUCUUCAUGUUAAAUCUCAAAAUUAACUCUCACGAUCUUUAGUAAGUUCUCUAUAUCAGUUCACCUCCCAAAUCACCUUAGUUCACCUUUCAAAUUAUCUCAUAACAAGCCUAUAAAGAUAGGGUGACCCUAAGUUACGUUAAGUGUAUCUUAUGUUUUCUGUCUUUUUCUUCUGGCAAUUUUCAUACAAGUCCUUAUUUUUAUUACUUUUAUAUUUAAGGAUGCAUUUGCCUUCUUCUAUCACUUAUACACCUAUUUUUCAUUCUUUCUAAUGUUUUCUUUAUUUCUUUAAACAACAAUGUAUGGUUAUCAAAUUUAUAUAAAUCUGUAAAUUCAGAAUAAAUUUCUAGUCCUAAAUUUAUUAUUCCCAUUCUUUCUUGUUCUAACAGUUCUAUUUUUUGGGUUAUUUGAUUUAUAUAGCUUGUUAUAAUAUUUUCCUAGCCUAGAUUCAUGUGAUCUAUAGUUUCUGCUAAAUUAUGUAUCACAUUAAAAGCAUGUUGGUUCAUGGUAGUGCUUCUUUUUUGUACUAGUAUACUAAAAACUUUAUAAAUUCAUCUAUGAAUUUCAUUUUCUUUUCUAUUAAAAUCUCACCUCCUACAGUAUCUAUAUUUCUUUCUUGUAAUUCUUGAGUUAAUUCAAGCUCGAUAUUUCGGAUGUUAUUCUUCUCAGAUUUUAUAGACAUUAUUAAAUUUUUUAUUUCUUCUUUCUCAAAUACUUUUAAAGUAUAUAAACUCUCUAUUAUAUUUUUUAUAGGAUCCAUGGCUCUGAUACCAUUUUAUGGGUAGAUAAAAAAAAACCAAAAAACACAAUAAAAUAAAUAAAUUAAAAAACAAAAAGAAAACAAAAACCAAUUAAGUCAACAAAAUUAAACAAAACAAAUAAAUAAAUAAUAUUAAGUAGUUGAAUCAAACUAUUCGGAUAAUAGAAUUUUGAUGCAAAAAUUCUAAAAGAUAUAUCUAUUUUAUGUCUUUAUUAUUAUUAUUAUUCAUCUAAAAGAAUAUAUCUAUCAUAUCUUAUAUUAUCAUUAUUUCUUAAAUAUAAGGCUAUAACUUCUUCCCCAUUAAUUAUACUAGGUAUAUUUCCGGGAAAACUAGGAACAUAAAAAUCAUAAUAAUUAUUAUGAGUUUCUAUAAUAUAUGUAGGGUUAUUAAUCUGAUUUAAAAUUUCUAAAUUAUAAGAUAUGUAAGAUAUGUUUACUGGAUAACAGAAUAUUUCUAAUUUUAUGAAAUAUAUAUUAUUAUUUAUUAUAUUAGUAUAAUAUCUUGUUUCCCUGUAUGUGUUCAUGAUUACAGAAUAUUAUACCGACUUAAGGUCUUAUAUUUCUAGUUCUUCAUUAUCUGAAUUAUCUAUAUAUUCUAUGUAUGAGGGGUCUAUUCUUAAACUUUCAUUUUCUAUUUUAGCUUUAAUUAUAUCAAUAGUUUCAUCUAUAGUUAACAUUGUGAUUAAGUGUUUUAGAUUAUCUAUUUCUAAAAUGUUUAAAAUUCUUCGUUUUAUUUCUGGUGGUAAUUCUAGUGUAUAUAUAGCUUCUAUCUCUUCUUUACUAAUAAGUUCUUCUUUGCUAAAUAUGUAUGAACUUUACUUAAAAGAUUCAAGAUUAAAAUCUAUUAUCAUCAUGUAGUUAUUAUAUGUUAUCCUAGUUGUAGGAUUUAUCAUUUUUUCUUUUGGAUUUCCACGUCCUAAUCUAACACUCAUAUUUUGAUAAACACUCAUUUUCCUUAUUUUUAACAAUUUUGAUUAAUGAUUUGAAUAAGAUUCACUUCUGAGAGAUGCUCAUCCACCAUCAAUCUCUUCAUCUACAAUCAUUACCAAACUUCCACCAUGAGAUAAGGUUAGAGAAUUAUUACCUAAGUUAUCCUUUUUUCUUCGUCUUAAGAUCUGUCUCCAGUGACCUGCAGCCUAUGCGUCCUUCAUUCCCUCAACGGCCUCCUGCCUUAACGGGAUCAAGCGGACUCCAAUGGCCUUUCUGUAUGGAUCUUGAUCUUCUUUCUUAGAAAUAAAGAUAAUUUUAGGUUUCUCUUUCCUUUCUAUGGGGUUGUUUGUUUUCCUUUCUAUGGGAUAAUUUUAGGUUUCUCUUUCCUUUCUAUGGGGUUGUUUGUUUAUGAUUGAUGAUGUAUUGAUUUCUGGUUUCGAGCUUAAGAGAAUUUAGCUAUUCAUUUUUCAGAGAGUUGUUUCCUCCAAAAAAAAUAUUGCCAAAGUGAAGUAUGGUGUGUAAUCUGAGCCUCUUGCUCUUUCCUCUUUCUUUUUAUUUCAAAACUUUUGUUUCGAGAUUACAUUCUUGCCCUUUUGGCUUUUUUCAAUUAGUACAAAUGCU
rnacentral:lncRNA from 1 species